UACGUAGGGGGCUAGCGUUGUCCGGAAUCAUUGGGCGUAAAGCGCGCGUAGGCGGCCCGGUAAGUCCGCUGUAAAAGUCAAAGGCUCAACCUUUGAAAGCCGGUGGAUACUGCCGGGCUAGAGUCCGGAAGAGGCGAGUGGAAUUCCUGGUGUAGCGGUGAAAUGCGCAGAUAUCAGGAAGAACACCUAUGGCGAAAGCAGCUCUCUGGGACGGUACUGACGCUGAGACGCGAAAGCGUGGGGAGCGAACAGG
rnacentral:rRNA from 1 species